AUGGGUGCUGGCUUGUACGGCUACAUCGACAAAACUAUAGAUGAACCUCCCAAGACCAUCGUCGCGAAGGACAAGGAUGGCAAGGAUCAGGUGAUGAAAAACCCUGACUAUGCCCCUUGGCUGGUCCAGGACUAGCAAAUCGUCGCCUACCUCCUCCGGAAUCUCUCCAAGGAGGUCCUCGUUCAGGUGGCCUCACUAGAGACGUCGCAUGCGCUAUGGACGGCGCUAUCCACCAUGUUCGCUGCAGUCUCUCUCUCGCGCGCCAACAACCUUCGUGCCGCCCUCACCAAC
rnacentral:rRNA from 1 species